UACGAAGGGGGCUAGCGUUGUUCGGAAUUACUGGGCGUAAAGGGCGCGCAGGCGGUUCCUCAAGUCAGGCGUGAAAGCCCCGGGCUCAACCUGGGAACCGCGCUUGAGACUGGCACGCUCGAGUUCGGGAGAGGAUGGUGGAAUUCCCAGUGUAGAGGUGAAAUUCGUAGAUAUUGGGAAGAACACCGGUGGCGAAGGCGCUCUGCUAGGCCGCAACUGACACUGAGGGACGAAAGCUAGGGGAGCGAAUGGG
rnacentral:rRNA from 1 species